GAGGGUAAAAACACACAAAGCGAAUAUCUUUCUCUUCCUAACACCCGAGAUAAAUCCCGAAUGCAUCUUUAAGCGCUCUCAUCGGACAACAUUGCUACGUACUCCAUCUCAAUUUUCAGCCCCUUCUAGGGAAAAGUGGUUGGGUCCCUGUAGUUAUGAGACCUGCUGGCUGAGGAAGAGGUGGGUGUUCCACACCACUGUGUAUGAAGACAUUCUGGCAGUGUUCCUUUCAGAAAGGUGAACAGCCCAGCAAGGAGCAGAAGGUCUAUCAGUCAAGUGAUCAGUGGCAAAAGGAGAGGAACAGACCAAACAGUCCCAGGGAGGAAGUUCUUGGAAGACUUCCCUGGAUGUUAUUCUCUUCUCUGUCUGAAAUACCAGCAGCUUCUCCAAGCUCUAACAGUAUUACCAAAACCUUCCCAGUGAUCCUCUUCACAAUGCCAUCCAGUGUUGCCAGGAUGUGCUGCAGGAGCCAGAUGAACAGUCAAAAAUGAGGAAACCAGAGAACAGCGUCUUUUCUGGAUAGACAAAGCAGUACAAAGUCAAGAGGUCUCACAGGAACAGAUCCCAGAUUCCUGAAUUCCCAUGCAUUAAAAAAAUGUUACCUC
rnacentral:lncRNA from 7 species